rnacentral:tRNA from 1 species
GAGGGUCUAGCUCAGUGGUAGAGUGUGUGCUUAGCAUGCAUGAGGUCUUGGGUUCAAUCUCCAGUACCUCA